CGAUGCAGCGACGCCGCGUGAGGGAUGACGGCCUUCGGGUUGUAAAUCUCUUCAGCAGGGACGAAGCGCAAGUGACGGUACCUGCAGAGAAGCGCGGCCAACUACGUGCCAGCAGCCGCGGUAAGACGUAGGGCGCGAGCGUUGUCCGGAUUUAUUGGGCGUAAAGAGCUCGUAGGCGGCUUGUCGCGUCGACUGUGAAAACCCGCGGCUCAACCGCGGGCCUGCAGCCGAUACGGGCAGGCUAGAGUUCGGUAGGGGAGACUGGAAUUCCUGGUGUAGCGGUGAAAUGCGCAGAUAUCAGGAGGAACACCGGUGGCGAAGGCGGGUCUCUGGGCCGAUACUGACGCUGAGGAGCGAAAGCGUGGGGAGCGAACAGGAUUAGAUACCCUGGUAGUCCACGCUGUAAACGUUGGGCGCUAGGUGUGGGGGACCUCUCCGGUUCUCUGUGCCGCAGCUAACGCAUUAAGCGCCCCGCCUGGGGAGUACGGCCGCAAGGCUA
rnacentral:rRNA from 1 species